rnacentral:lncRNA from 1 species
UUGGAAUCUAGUUAGUACUAAAAUUAGUCCAGUUAGUACUAAGCUGAUCAAUAAGAUGAUGACUAGCACUCGUUGUGAGGAAGGCUUGAUUAUUUGGAAAAUAGGCUCGGAUUAUGCACGUAGAAUCCGAUAAAAUAGAGCUUAUGCUCUAGGGUGGGUGGUGGGUCCCCAUCUUACUAUAUUUCAACCAACUAAAUUAAUGAGUUGGUUGAAAUAUAUAUUAAAAUCAAAAUCAAAAUAGGGAUAAAUAUGG